GUCCUAGCCGUAAACGAUGGGUACUGGGUAGGGGGGAAGCCUAUGCUCUUCCCUGCCGGAGCAAAUGUGUUAAGUACCCCGCCUGGGGAGUACGCUCGCAAGGGUAAAACUCAAAGGAAUUGACGGGGGCUCACACAAGCGGUGGAGCAUGUGGUUCAAUUCGAAGCAACGCGAAGAACCUUACCUGGGCUUGACAUCCACGGAUUAGUCCCUCGAAAGAGGGAGUACUGCUCUUCGGAGCCGGAACGUGGACAGGUGUUGCAUGGCUGUCGU
rnacentral:rRNA from 1 species